AUACGGAAGGUCCGGGCGUUAUCCGGAUUUAUUGGGUUUAAAGGGAGCGCAGGCGGAGAUGCAAGCGUGACGUCAAAUUUCGGGGCUCAACCCCGUCUCGCGUCGCGAACUGCGUCCCUUGGUUGCGGGAAGGGGAGGCGGAACUCGUGGUGUAGCGGUGAAAUGCAUAGAUAUCACGAAGAACUCCGAUCGCGAAGGCAGCCUUCCGGCCCGUCAACGACGCUCAUGCUCGAAGGUGCGGGUAUCAAACAGGAUUAGAUACCCUGGUAGUCCGCACAGUAAACGAUGGACACCCGCGGUUUGGCCUGUAUGGCUGAGCCGCCAAGCGAAAGCGUUAAGUGUCCCACCUGGGGAGUACGCCGGCAACGGUGAAACUCAAAGGAAUUGACGG
rnacentral:rRNA from 1 species